rnacentral:rRNA from 1 species
UACGUAGGGUGCGAGCGUUAAUCGGAAUUACUGGGCGUAAAGCGUGCGCAGGCGGUUUUGUAAGCCAGAUGUGAAAUCCCCGGGCUUAACCUGGGAAUGGCAUUUGGGACUGCAAGGCUCGAGUGCGGCAGAGGAGACUGGAAUUCCUGGUGUAGCAGUGAAAUGCGUAGAUAUCUGGAGGAACACCGGUGGCGAAGGCGGCAUCCUGGACCAAUACUGACACUGAGGAGCGAAAGCCAGGGGAGCAAACGGG